rnacentral:rRNA from 1 species
CUACGGGGUGCUGCAGUCGGGAAACUUUUGCAAUGUACGCAAGUAUGACAGAGCAAGCCGGAGUGCGUUUCUAUAAUUGAAAUGCUUUUGUGAGAGGUAAAUACUCUUUCGAAUAAGGACUGGGUAAGACUGGUGCCAGCCGCCGCGGUAAUACCAGCGGUCCAAGUAGCAGCCACUUUUAUUGGGUCUAAAACAUCCGUAGCUCGUUAAGUAAGUCUUUUGUGAAAUCCGGCCUCUCAAGGGUCGGGCGUGCGGGAGAUACUGCUUGGCUAGAGACCGGGAGACGUAAGGAGUACGCAUCGGGUAGCGGUUAAAUGCGUUGAUCCAAUGUGGACUAACGAUAGCGAAGGCACCUUACGAGAACGGAUCUGACAGUGAGGGAUGAAGGCUAGGGGCGCAAAACGGAUUAGAUACCCGAGUAGUC